rnacentral:lncRNA from 13 species
AUGGGUCGGUGGAGGUCUGAAGGGACGUUUCAUUCUACGUCUCCUUCUGUAGUUUCCCUUCUCGAACAUGUCCUCGCACGCCGGGUCAAGGGUCCAGUAAUUCCCCUUUCUCUCGCCGCCUCCCUCGCGAGGAACCUUGAUGAAGCAUUCAUUCAGACUCAAGUUGUGCCGGAUACUGUUUUGCCAGCCUUUCUUGUUUUUCUCGUAGAAAGGGAAUUUGGUUAUGAUAUACUGGUAAAUACCAGACAAAGUGAGGCGCUUCUCAGUGCUCUCCCGGAUGGCCAUGGCAAUGAGAGCCACAUACGAAUACGGUGGUUUUUGAGACGGGUCCGUUUUCUCCGAAACUUUUUCCUGGACCGGUUCCUCUUUGGGUCGCUCCUUAUCCUUCGCCAUGUUGGUGUCGUGGACCAUCAGGGCCAUUGCGUCAUCCUCUGGGUUUUGAAAGAAGAGAGAGGAUAGAGCAAAUAAACAGGGACCUCCCCCCUGUUAUCCUCCCUCUACCCCCCCUCUACCUCCCCACCCACAUGGAUUAUGCUUUGGGAGGUUGAGGGGACGGGGGCAUGAGAGGAGUAGACACACAGUGCGCACACACUGUCUAGUGGACACACACACACACACACACACACACACACACACACACACACUAUACUCCAUAUCCACCUCAACACUCAAAGAACUAGUGUGUGUGCGUUGGUGUGUGUUCUUGUGUCAGUCUGUUUUAAUUUAAGAUAUAAAAUGUGUUAAUAAAAAGGGUGAGGGGGCUUCCUUACUUUGUAAAUCCCCCUUUCCAACACACAGAUCAUUGUCAAAAAAUGAUAAAGAAGCCCCCCUCCUCCAUGCCUCCUCUUUCCCUUCUCUCUUGCCUUGAUCGGAAGGUGGCUGUGGUGUAUUCUAGUGACGUUGUGUUUGUCUUCCUUAUAUCUCAGAGGAAGCCUAUGGGAAGCACUAAGCCCCUCUCCCCUGCCCUGCUGUCUCAUUAAUAUCAUCCAUCACUCUCUUAUUAACUAACAAGCCUGUAGUCUUUAUAGUAACCUGGCAUUAACGCCACAAAGGGACUGCUGCUUGGACAGUAAAGUAUCAAUUAUAUUCUAUUGGUUGACCUCUGCCUAGGUCUAUGAGCUGCAUUCUUAUUCCUGUAUGGAGUAAAACAACAGAUGAUCUAACCAUUGUGACGGACGAGAGAAGAAGAGGGGAGAGGAGAGGAGGGGAGAAGAAGGAAGAAGAGAUGAGAAGAGAGGAGAGGAGGGGAGAGGAGAGGAGGGGAGAAGAAGGAAGAAGAGAUGAGAAGAGAGGAGAAGAGGGGAGAGGAGAGGAGGGGAGGGGAGAGAGACAAUGUGUUCCUGUUAACCUCUGCUGAGAGGUGAAGCGCUGGAGCCUCCUGCCAACAAGAUUCUCUUUGAGGCUUUCUUGAACCGGGGCCAGGGUCUAAAUGACUCACAGGAGCGAGUGUGUGUGUGUGUGCGUGUGUGUAUGUGUGUGUGUGUGUGUGUGUGUGUGUGUGUGUGUAAAUGUGUCUGUUUUUGUGAGAGAGUGUGAGAUAAGGUUAUGUUUGAGGAAAACAGUGUGAGUGUGUGCAUUUGUAUGUGUGUGAGUGCAUGUGUGUGUUAGAUGUGUGUGUGAGGUGUGUGUGAGAGUGGGUGUGUAUGAGAGCGAGAAGCAUCCUCACCUUCCAAAAUAAAAGAAAAAAAGCUAAUUACAUUAAAACCCACCUUUCACAUGGCUAACCUUUCAAACACACCCGUCAAGUCAGAAUCAUACUCAAAUCUUCACAACCCAACUAGAGUAAAAAAACUCAACACUUUUCCUCAUCGUAUCCGAUUGGAUUAGAUUCCAGACCAAAUCAAAACAAGUCAUUAGAGGUAAUUGCCCAGGUAGCACGACUUCUCUGACCAAACAAACAUGGCUGCCGACAGACAACCUGAAGACAGAUCAAAGCUACUGUUUGACAGGAAUCAGCCGACAGAACUCAAAUAACCGCCAUUUUACAACCCACACAACUCACUCCCUCUCUCUCUGGCUUAGUGUCAAUGCAAACUACACACUGACCAAACUGUUCUGACGUCUCAAUGCAGAAACACACAGCCAAAAAGAUGAUUAAACGUUGAAUGACACAAGGACAAAGACGUCUGGAAUCAAACUUGAAUGUGUUGACCUUCACAGUUCAGAUGUGUGUGAACAGUUGAGCAUUAAUGGUGCAGAACCAGAAUGAUACAGUCAGAUGGGUAAGACUGGGUUCAUUCUGCAUAGGUGGUCUGUCUGUGCUGGGGUUAGUGAGGAUAUUGCCUCUAGCUCUACCAUCGGAAACAGAAUACACCCACCUACCAUUCAUACUCACUUUCCUCAUAUCCUACCCACUGCCUUGCCUCCUCCUUUCUCUCAGUGUUGCCAAGUUACAUGAGUUACUCUACAAUGUUAUAAUUUAUCUGUGCUCUCUGCGUAUAUUCUGUGUCUACUAUCUCUCUCUCACACACAGACACACACACACACACAAAACCCAGGGUUGCCAGAGUAACCAGACUUUUUUUCUCUCCAGCAUGCUACCUUGCCACUGUACAAUAGCUCAGAGUGCAUGUGGGUGGCUGUGAAUAAGGUAAGAGAU